UUGCAUUAAAUGAAAGGUUGGCUCAGUCUAAUCAAAUAGGUAAAUGCACUCCACUUGGCACAAGUAGAACAAUCAAUGAUUUUCAAAUAAAACAAAUGGGAA